AACGAACGCUGGCGGCAGGCUUAACACAUGCAAGUCGAACGCAUCCUUCGGGGCGAGUGGCAGACGGGUGAGUAACGCGUGGGAACGUGCCCUUCAGUUCGGGAUAACCCAGGGAAACUUGGGCUAAUACCGGAUACGUGCGAGAGCAGAAAGAUUUAUCGCUGAAGGAUCGGCCCGCGUCUGAUUAGCUAGUUGGGGGGGUAAUGGCCCACCAAGGCGACGAUCAGUAGCUGGUCUGAGAGGAUGAUCAGCCACAUUGGGACUGAGAAACGGCCCAAGCUCCUACGGGAGGCAGCAGUGGGGAAUAUUGGACAAUGGGCGCAAGCCUGAUCCAGCCAUGCCGCGUGAGUGAUGAAGGCCUUAGGGUUGUAAAGCUCUUUCGUCCGGGACGAUAAUGACGGUACCGGAAGAAGAAGCCCCGGCUAACUUCGUGCCAGCCGCCGCAGUAA
rnacentral:rRNA from 1 species